rnacentral:rRNA from 1 species
AAUAUAUUAACCAGAAUGUUUAAAUUAGUGUUAUAAUAUAUAAUGUAUAUACUAAUGCAACUGCGAAUAGCUGUUUAAUACAGUCGUAAUUGUAUUGACUUAGUAUAAUGUUAAUAAUAGUUAUUUAUAGGAUAACUAAGGGAAAGUUUGGCUAAUACGUUUUAACAGUAUUAUAAUUCUUAAUACACAUAUAAUAAUAUUAUAAUAUGAUAAAUAUUAUAUAAAUAUUUUAAUACAUUUAUUUGUAUUAAUAUAUAGAGUUGACUUUAUAAUAUUUAUUUAUUAUAAAGCAUGUCAAACAAGCAUCUAUAGCAUCAAGUCACAAUGUUGGCAUGUGUAUUAUUGAACCUUCAAAGCAUUUACGCAUUCGGAGGAGUAGUUUCUGAUCCCGUCGAAGGUGCCUGAGAGACGGCACUUAGUUCUAAGGAACGCAGCAGGCGCGUAAAUUGCCCAAUGACAAAACAUGUUAUAAUAAAAUAUAUAAUGUAUAUAUUGAAUACUCAAUAUUUAAUUGAGGCAGUGACAAGCUGUAAAGAUUGAAUAUAUUAAUUAAGAUAACAUUUGGAAUUGUCGUUUUAUAAUAUUUUUUAAUAUUAUAUUACUUGAUAAUAUACCAAUGUUAUAAAAUAUUCAAUUUGAAUGCGGUGAAUGUAAUAAUUUCAAGUAACAUGUAUAAAAUAUUUAUAUUUUAUUAGUUAUCUGAAUUUUCAAGUGGAGGGCAAGUCUGGUGCCAGCAGCCGCGGUAAUACCAGCUCCACUAGCUUAUACAAUCAUUGUUGCGGUUAAGAGGCUCGUAGUUGGAUUGAAUAAAACAUAUAUACACAAUACUGUGAACAAACCAGAGUGUAUAAAACAUGUAAUAUAUUAUAUAUUUAGCAAUGAAUGUUUUAUCAUGGAAUAUUGCUAUAAUGAAUAUUAAUAUCGAUGGAGAUAGUUGGAGUUAAGAGUACUGAUAGGCGAGCGGUGAAAUGCAUUGACCCUAUUAAGACUAACAAAAGCGAAAGCACUUAACUAGAUUAUUCUCUUUGUAUUAUUUUACAAUGAAGAGCGAAGGUUGGGGGAACAAAGAGGAUCAGAUACCCUCGUAGUCCUAUUUUUACAUCAAACUAUGGGAUUUCAUUCACACUAAACACUAAACAUUAUAAUUAUAAUUAUGAUUGAGUUAUAUGUCAAAAUAUUACUCUCAUAUUAAAUAAUUAUUAUAUAUAUGAUUAUAUGUACUUUGAGCUCAUAUAAUUAUAUAGGUGAGAUGUAAGCAUUAUAAAGUGAAUAAUAUACAAGUAAUAUUGUAUUAUUAUGAUCUUUAAAAUAAAAAAUGUAAUGUGAUGCACGUUUUAGGUACGAGCUUACUAUAGAAAUAUUUAAAAUAAUACCCUCCUGGGGUAGUAUGCACGCAANNNNNNNACUUGAAGGAAUUGACGGAAGGGCACCACAAGAACGCGUGGAGCAUGUGGCUUAAUUUGACUCAACCCGGGAAAUCUUACCAGGUCCAGACAUAUUGAGGAUUGACAGGCGAUAGUAUAUAAUUCAUUUAUAUGCAUAAAAAUGAUAGUCCUUUCAUGAUUAUAUGAUAGGUGGUGCAUGGCCGUUCUUAGUUCGUGGAGUGAUUUGUCUGCUUAAUUGCGUUUCAGUAAAUAAAAUAUAUAAUAUAUUAUAAUAUUUAGUUCUGCCUGAAUAUUAUUCAGGAUUUAAAGUGAACAUAUUAUAUAUAUUAUUAUAUAAUAAAUGAAUGCA